rnacentral:rRNA from 1 species
UGGGGAAUAUUGGACAAUGGACCAAGAGUCUGAUCCAGCAAUUCUGUGUGCACGAUGAAGUUUUUCGGAAUGUAAAGUGCUUUCAGUUGGGAAGAAAGAAAUGACGGUACCAACAGAAGAAGUGACGGCUAAAUACGUGCCAGCAGCCGCGGUAAUACGUAUGUCACGAGCGUUAUCCGGAUUUAUUGGGCGUAAAGCGCGUCUAGGUGGUUAUAUAAGUCUGAUGUGAAAAUGCAGGGCUCAACUCUGUAUUGCGUUGGAAACUGUAUAACUAGAGUACUGGAGAGGCAAGCGGAACUACAAGUGUAGAGGUGAAAUUCGUAGAUAUUUGUAGGAAUGCCGAUGGGGAAGCCAGCUUACUGGACAGAUACUGACGCUGAAGCGCGAAAGCGUGGGUAGCAAACAGGAUUAGAUACCCUGGUAGUCCACGCCGUAACGAUGAUUACUAGGUGUUGGGGGUCGAACCUCAGCGCCCAAGCAAACGCGAUAAGUAAUCCGCCUGGGGAGUACGUACGCAAGUAU